UUGAAGACUGCCACUGGGAAGCUGCAUCAUGAGCUACUUGGGCUUCUAAAGUGUCCAUUGGAUAUUUAAUCACAUAAGCCUUGAAACAAGGUUAUGCAAAGAGACUUAGAGCAGUGUACUAGAAGUGUCCCAGCAUGAGGAGACUGACGCGUCAAACUGGUGAUAUGAGAAAAACAGAAUGCAGCUUUCAAGGUUUGUUUCAAGGAGAUGACAUGUGGGAUUCUGAGAGAUGCUGCUGCCCAUGAUGUGUUGGAAUUAUCAUGAUCUACUACCCAGUUUGGAUUUCACCCAGUGGUCAAGAGCUUUGCAUGGUAGACAGCAAGG